UAUUUUAGAAUUGAAAUCGUCACUGAUUUAUCUUUAUGCAUGUGCUGGUAAUCACUUAGUAGUCGGCACUAGAUUUUUUGAGAUAUUUAAAUGAUGGCAUCAUGAGUGAAUUCAAGUUAAUUUGAUUAAUUUAUAAUUUGGGAUAAUCUUUAAAAAAUAUUAGAAAGUUUAAGGUUAAUAUUCUAAAGUCAUAUGAUGAAAUAAAAUAAAAAUUAAAAAAAAACUGAAGUUAUAUCGAGCUAAUCUUUGAAACCAGCAACUAUGAUCAUGAAACCAAGAUAACCGUACAAAAAAUCAAAAAAAAUCUCGAACAAAAUUCUUAACCAUUAAAAAACUAAAAAGAAAAUAAAUAAUAAUUAAAAUAAUGAUGAUCAAAUCUGAUAUAAAAAUUGAUGAAAGAAAAUAAUCAAAGACUUAAUCGAAAAAUAAAAUAAAAAAAAAAAGAAAAAAGAUUUAAAAAAAGAGCAAUUAAAAAAAUGAUAACCAAAAUUGGAUGAAAUAAAAUGUUGAGGGAUAAAAUUGAUAAAAAAAAUAAUUAAGAAAAUGAUAAAAAAUAAGCAAUUAAAAAAGUGAGAACUAAAUCUGAAAAAAAAAAUAUUAAAGGAAAAAAUUAAAAGGAAAAAAAACAAGAAAAUAAUUAAAACAAUCAAGAGAAUGAGUAUUAUAUUAAUAUAAAAACAAAAUGAAAUGAAAAAUGAUGAAUCUGAAAAACAAAUUUAAAAAAAAUCAAAAGAAAAAAAGACUAGUUAAAAGAAAGAUGAUCAUAAUUGAAUUUUUUCUUUAUUAUUUUUUUUUAUCAAAAUAAUAUCAUUUUUACUUUUUAGUUGAAUAAAAAAUCAAGCGAUUAACCAGGAGAAAAUAAUGUCAACACCUAUCGAUUUUUUUUGCCAUUAUUUUUUUAAUCAAAAUAAUAUCAUUUUUACUUCACGGACAAUAAAAAAAUCCGAUUGACCUUGGUAACUCCAGUUAUUCGAACCCGGGACAUGAUGAGGGUCAACUCUUUGACCGGGUUUUAAAAGCAAGAUGAAAAGGCAACAAAUACACUAUGAAAAUUUAAUGAAAUAAAACAAUGAGAUAUUAGAUUGCUACAAAACAAUUAAUUAAAAAAAACUAAAAAUAAAAGGAAUUGCAAUCAUGAGAAUCAAAUUCAACAAAAAAAAUAAAAAUGAGUAGGGAUUAAAUGGAAAAAUAGAAUCUAGUUAGAAAAAAAAAUUAAAAGUAAAAUAAAUAGAAAUCAAAAUAAUAAGAAUUAAAUUUGAUAAGAAAACAUAAAAAGUUAGAUGAAUUGAAAAACAAAUAAAUUCAAUUCAAUAUAAUGAAAAAAUUAAAGAUCACUUUAUAAUUUUACAAUACCAAUACAUCUUUUGAGAUGAAGAUAAGAAAAAAAUUAUCGCCAAAGUUCUUUCAUGUUAUAGAUGUUGACAUGCGCUGCCCCACUGUGUAAAAAGUGGAGCGUUGCUUCGGAUAGGCUACCAACAAUCACUUCUUUUGUUUUUAAUUAUAGAAAGAUUAUAAUAGCCUUUACCCCAUAAGAAGAUAAUUGCAAGAAAAUUAAGGUUAAAAAACCAAAAGAAUCCCUUUGCCUUGGGGAAAAAAAAGAAGCUGAUCCCAGAAGCUAUGAGAUAAUUACACUGUGAAAAUCCGAAAACAAUCAUCUAGACAUUGGCUGUGUUUUUUUGUUUUUAAGGACAUGAGAGAAAUCAUACUGUGUAAUAAAUAUGUGGAAAUAAGAUUUUACCAUGUAUGUUUACCUUUUCUUAUCAUCGAAAGACCUAAAGCACUUGAAUGUCUUAGUUUUAUUUGUAAUACGAAAUUAGGAUGUUUUAAAAUUGACCAGAGCGUCCAAUUUGGAAUAUCAAAGCAAGUAAGCAACUUCAGAGGAUAGCAAAUUUAAGUUGCUUUCGUUUGAGCUCUGUUCUGUAAGCGGAAUCGCAGGGCUGGGACCAUUUCCAUCAACGAGGUUCCUCCAUCGGUGAUGACUGGUUAUAGCUGGACCGUAACGAUCAAGAUGGGAGCUCCCGCACCUUCCUCGUGAUCUAGCCCAGCAAAAGUUCGAUCCUGCUGCCCAGAAGAAUACCAUCAACGCAUGGAGGAGGGCAGAGGAGGCAUCUGCCUUUGUGGUGGUGGUCCAAUUAUUCUCUUUUUGGCCUACUGGUAGGAACUUCAAAACCACGAUCAAGCACUUUAGAAACUGAUCGCUGCCUAAAGUGAUCUAAAAGCAAGUAUAUAAUUUCAAAGGGAAGACGACCAAGCGUUAUUCCCUCUGGUUCCACCUAACCUUCGAUUGUUUUCUUGACCCCAUGAAUAACCAAAGAGGCACUCUGUUUCUUGUCCUUUUAAUUAAUUAAAUACAACGUGUUAUGCGUUGUUGUUGAUAACUCACUCGUAUGAUUAGCAGUGUUUUGCCUGUUUAGAGGAUGCUAGCCUGCCUUUGACCUUCCUGGCAGCCUAGCAUUGGCGUAGAUUCUUUUUAAUAAUCUAAAAGGAUUGCUCAGGGAAAUAUCUUUUCUCCUUUACAUAUUGUAUUAUAAUUUUAUUAUUGUGAUUGUAAUAAUAUUCCAAGUUAGCCAGAUAACUGCUUUGAUAAUC
rnacentral:lncRNA from 1 species